rnacentral:tRNA from 1 species
GCCCGGAUGGCGGAACUGGUAGACGCAAGGGACUUAAAAUCCCUCGGCCUUUGGCUGUACGAGUUCGAUUCUCGUUCCGGGUACCA